rfam:Firmicutes bacterium CAG:240 genomic scaffold, scf380
AUUAUGCGAUGAAGCGGGAGAUUGCUCGUUUUUCGAGGUAACUUCCGUGGAGUAUGUCCGGUACCGAUGCCAUUUCGGUACACAA